rnacentral:tRNA from 1 species
GAGGGUAUAGCUCAAGUGGUAGAGUGCUUGUUUAGCAUGCUUGAGGUCCUGGGUUCAAUCCCCAGUACCUCCU